rnacentral:lncRNA from 1 species
UGCUAGUUCUUUAGUUUUGAGCUUCUGCAUUUCCUAAUUUCAUGGUUACAACAGCCUCGGAACAGCUUCUACCAAAACUGAAAAUGCAGGCUCCAUGCUCAGCAGCUCUCUGACGGGCAGCAAAGGUUCAUGCCCCUUCUCCUGCCCUCUCUAGCACAAGAAGACAGUCUCUGAGGGACUUUCUUCUCCUCAAAUGUGUUUCCUCAUGCCCAGCUAGAACAGAGAUGAAGGCUGCGAGUCUGAAAUCAAGCGCUGCAACCAAGGAGGCAAAAGGAGAGAUACAGCGGGAUGUGGCCUGGUAACCUGAGACGGCAGGUAGUUUUUCAGAAAAAUGAGCAGCCAGGAGUGACUUCAUGCAUUUCC